UACAGAGGGGGCAAGCGUUGUCCGGAUUCAUUGGGCGUAAAGAGCUCGUAGGCGGCUGUUCAAGUCGAACGUGAAAACUCGGAGCUCAACUCCGAGCCUGCGUUCGAAUACGUGACGGCUAGAGUCUGGUAGGGGGGAUCUGGAAUUCCUGGUGUAGCGGUGGAAUGCGCAGAUAUCAGGAGGAACACCGGUGGCGAAGGCGGGAUCCUGGGCCAGUACUGACGCUGAUGCGCGAAAGCCAGGGGAGCGAACGGG
rnacentral:rRNA from 1 species